rnacentral:rRNA from 1 species
GACAGGAUGCCAAUCCCCAAAACCUCUCUCAGUUCGGAUCGAAGUCUGCAACCCGACUUCGUGAAGCUGGAUUCGCUAGUAAUCGCGCAUCAGCCAUGGCGCGGUGAAUACGUUCCCGGGCCUUGUACACACCGCCCGUCAAGCCAUGAAAGCCGGGGGUACCUGAAGUACGUAACCGCAAGGAUCGUCCUAGGGUAAAACUGGUAAUUGGGGCUAAGUCGUAACAAGGUAGC